AUUGAACGCUGGCGGCAUGCCUUACACAUGCAAGUCGAACGGCAGCACGGGAGCAAUCCUGGUGGCGAGUGGCGAACGGGUGAGUAAUAUAUCGGAACGUGCCCAGUCGUGGGGAUAACGUAGCGAAAGCUACGCUAAUACCGCAUACGAUCUAUGGAUGAAAGCGGGGGGAUCGCAAGACCUCGCGCGAUUGGAGCGGCCGAUAUCAGAUUAGGUAGUUGGUGAGGUAAAGGCUCACCAAGCCGACGAUCUGUAGCUGGUCUGAGAGGACGACCAGCCACACUGGGACUGAGACACGGCCCAGACUCCUACGGGAGGCAGCAGUGGGGAAUUUUGGACAAUGGGCGCAAGCCUGAUCCAGCAAUGCCGCGUGCAGGAUGAAGGCCU
rnacentral:rRNA from 1 species